CCUACGGGCGGCUGCCGUGGGGAAUAUUGGACAAUGGGCGAAAGCCUGAUCCAGCCAUGCCGCGUGUGUGAAGAAGGCCUUCGGGUUGUAAAGCACUUUCAGUGGGGAAGAAAGCCUUGGGGCUAAUACCCUCGAGGAAGGACAUCACCCACAGAAGAAGCACCGGCUAACUCCGUGCCAGCAGCCGCGGUAAUACGGAGGGUGCGAGCGUUAAUCGGAAUUACUGGGCGUAAAGCGCGCGUAGGCGGUCUGAUAAGCCGGUUGUGAAAGCCCCGGGCUCAACCUGGGAACGGCAUCCGGAACUGUCAGGCUAGAGUGCAGGAGAGGAAGGUAGAAUUCCCGGUGUAGCGGUGAAAUGCGUAGAGAUCGGGAGGAAUACCAGUGGCGAAGGCGGCCUUCUGGACUGACACUGACGCUGAGGUGCGAAAGCGUGGGUAGCAAACAGGAUUAGAUACCCGAUAGUC
rnacentral:rRNA from 1 species